GCGUUCGUAGCUCAGUUGGAUAGAGCGCCGGACUUCGAAUCCGUAGGUCGCAGGUUCGAAUCCUGUCGAGCGCA
rnacentral:tRNA from 1 species